UAGAAAUAAAGAUACUAGACAUCCCUAAUUUCGGAAAUAAAUUGAUCCACUUCAGAAGGAUGGGAGAGUCCACUAAGCAUAAAUGGGUUAAAGCGUUUGAUGUUUGUUUCAGGGCUGUGUCGACGGCCUCUAAUCUGCCAACAUGUAACUACGUUUAUAGUAUGGUCAACAAAAAGAAAAAGCAAGCAGAACCACAAAAGGAUUAGACUCAGAUAAUAUCAAUAGUAUCCGUAGCUGGCUCCGUAGACUACCCAUACAGCGUCGUCAACUAGAAUAUGACGUAAAAUAAAUGAGGGGUAUUUUGAGAUGUGGUUUUAUACCUUUUAUAAAAACAUACGCGCAUAGAAAGACGAAGGCUAAGUGUGCAUUCACAUUUACAUAUUUCCAUUUACUAACCUUACAUUGUUUCAACGUUUUGUUAUCUCGUUAAACAUAUUAUUUUCUAAUUAUCCAUACUGUUUUAUAUAUUUGCAUCAUUACUGCGUCGGUGCUUACAGGUUAUCCGCGUAAGCACAUUAGGCGUUGUGUACGCUACACACUGACAGUAUGUACUAUAGUUUUUCUUGUUAUAUUAUAAUAACAACAACAUUGAUUUGUAUUAUAUUGUUAAUUGUCCCCUACCGGUUUCACCGGAGGGGACUUAUGGUUUGCGCUCUGUGCGUCUGUCUGUCUGUCACACUUUUCUGGAUCCUGCGAUAACUUUAAAAGUUCUUCAUAUUUUUUCAUGAAACGUAAAACAUGAAUAGAUGACAAUAUGGACAUUAUGCAAGUCAUUUCAUUUUGUUCCUACGUAAACAAUUUUGGUUGCUAUGGCAACAAAUAUAAUUUAAAACAAGCGAUGUGUUUGUUAAACACUAUGUCCCCAUAUAUUUGACCUUUGACCUUGAAUGAUGACCUUGACCUUUCACCACUCACAAUGUGCAGCUCCAUGAGAUACACAUGCAUGCCAAAUAUCAAGCUGCUAUCUUCAAUACUGCAAAAGUGUACAUUAAAUUAGCGAUUUUGACCCAUAUAUUUGACCUUUGACCAUGAAGGAUGACCUUGACCUUGACUUUUCACCACUCAAAAUGUGCAGCUCUAUGACAUACACAUGCAUGCUAAAUAUGAAAUAGCUAUCUUCAAUAUUGCAAAAGUUAUUGCAAAUGUUAAACAUCGGAUCAUUUUAAUAACCUGGUAAUGAUAGUUUAAUGCUUCCGUGUCAUUUCCUGAGAUAUUCAUUUAAUCAAAAUGCUUGAACCAUAUGUAUGAACCUACACCCGAACAAAAAUAGCACUCGUCAUAUGCAGUACAU